rnacentral:rRNA from 1 species
GGCGGCNGCUAUACAUGCAAGUCGAGCGCAGGAACCAGAUGAUCCCUUCGGGGUGAAUCUGGCGGAAUGAGCGGCGGACGGGUGAGUAACACGUGGGCAACCUGCCUGUAAGACUGGGAUAACUUCGGGAAACCGGAGCUAAUACCGGAUAGUAUUUUCUUUCUCCUGAUUGAAAAUGGAAAGACGGUUUCGGCUGUCACUUACAGAUGGGCCCGCGGUGCAUUAGCUAGUUGGUGGGGUAAUGGCCCACCAAGGCGACGAUGCAUAGCCGACCUGAGAGGGUGAUCGGCCACACUGGGACUGAGACACGGCCCAGACUCCUACGGGAGGCAGCAGUAGGGAAUCUUCCGCAAUGGACGAAAGUCUGACGGAGCAACGCCGCGUGAGCGAUGAAGGCCUUCGGGUCGUAAAGCUCUGUUGUUAGGGAAGAACAAGUACGAGAGUAACUGCUCGUACCUUGACGGUACCUAACCAGAAAGCCCCGGCUAACUACGUGCCAGCAGCCGCGGUAAUACGUAGGGGGCAAGCGUUGUCCGGAAUUAUUGGGCGUAAAGGGCUCGUAGGCGGUUUCUUAAGUCUGAUGUGAAAGCCCACAGCUCAACUGUGGAGGGUCAUUGGAAACUGGGGAACUUGAGUGCAGAAGAGGAGAGUGGAAUUCCACGUGUAGCGGUGAAAUGCGUAGAUAUGUGGAGGAACACCAGUGGCGAAGGCGACUCUCUGGUCUGUAACUGACGCUGAGGAGCGAAAGCGUGGGGAGCAAACAGGAUUAGAUACCCUGGUAGUCCACGCCGUAAACGAUGAGUGCUAGGUGUUAGGGGGUUUCCGCCCCUUAGUGCUGAAGUUAACGCAUUAAGCACUCCGCCUGGGGAGUACGGCCGCAAGGCUGAAACUCAAAAGAAUUGACGGGGGCCCGCACAAGCGGUGGAGCAUGUGGUUUAAUUCG